rnacentral:lncRNA from 1 species
CGCGCCUGUUGCCUGAGAUACCCCCGCCCCCGCCCUCACUGCCCGGAGUCCUUCUGCGUCCAAGAUGGCGUCCGAGCUUUAUUUUUAGAGCACCAGGAACAAAGCGCGUUGCGUAGCAUUGAGUUUAGCAGAAAGCAAGAGUUGUGUGGCUGGCUUUAAUGUCUGCUGUGUUUGGUUGGCUGUUCACACAAUACCCAGACUCCCAGAGCUGCCACAGGUGUCCUAAGUUCACACAGCCACCCUUCAUCCUGCCUCAAGUGGAGCUUUGUCCCGUGUCUGAGCAUGGUGUCUGCUGUGUGGAAAUAAGAACUGUCUCACAAAACUGAGCCUCAAAAGAGAGUUGGCCACUGACAACAGCAGGACAGACAAGGAUUCUCAAGACCACGCAACGUAUAUUUAUCAAACUGGUGGCCACACUGCUCUAGGUAGUGCAGAAAAAAAAAA